UGAAUCCGCGCGGGAGAGUCCCCAGCAGCAUGUCUGGUCGCUGGGGCGCCGAAGGAGCAAGUCCCUCCCUUGAAUCUCUCAGGCCCCGUUACCGCGCGGGCGAG
rnacentral:ncRNA from 2 species